GUCCAUGCCGUAAACGUUGGGCACUAGGUGUGGGGCUCAUUCCACGAGUUCCGCGCCGCAGCUAACGCAUUAAGUGCCCCGCCUGGGGAGUACGGCCGCAAGGCUAAAACUCAAAGGAAUUGACGGGGCCCGCACAAGCGGCGGAGCAUGCGGAUUAAUUCGAUGCAACGCGAAGAACCUUACCAAGGCUUGACAUACACCGGAAUCAUGCAGAGAUGUGUGCGUCUUCGGACUGGUGUACAGGUGGUGCAUGGUUGUCGU
rnacentral:rRNA from 1 species